AAGUCGUAACAAGGUCUCCGUUGGUGAACCAGCGGAGGGAUCAUUAUAGAGUUUUUUAAACUCCCAACCCAUGUGAACUUACCAUUGUUGCCUCGGCAGAAGCUACCUGGUUACCUUACCUUGGAACGGCCUACCCUGUAGCGCCUUACCCUGGAACGGCCUACCCUGUAACGGCUGCCGGUGGACUACCAAACUCUUGUUAUUUUAUUGUAAUCUGAGCGUCUUAUUUUAAUAAGUCAAAACUUUCAACAACGGAUCUCUUGGCUCUU
rnacentral:misc_RNA from 1 species